rnacentral:sRNA from 1 species
UUGGAUUGGGUCUCUCCUCCACGUUGGUUGUGGUUUAAUGUCUUAAAAGUGGCUCUUACCUCCUGGACACUCCUCUCCAGGAUUCUCAGGGUUGGGUCUCUGUGUCAUUGGUCUCAUUACUCUUCAACUUCAGUAGUAGCUCUGUCCUUCCUGGGCAGCGAUAUUUUAGUGUUUAUGUUGGUCUCAAAGCUGUGACUUUUGGGUGUUACCGGCGGGGAGCUGUUUGAAGACAUUGUGGCCAGAGAGUACUACAGUGAAGCAGAUGCCAGCCACUGUAUACAUCAGAUUCUGGAGAGUGUUAACCACAUCCACCAGCAUGACAUCGUCCACAGGGACCUGAAGCCUGAGAACCUGCUGCUGGCGAGUAAAUGCAAGGGUGCCGCCGUCAAGCUGGCUGAUUUUGGCCUAGCCAUCGAAGUACAGGGAGAGCAGCAGGCUUGGUUUGGUUUUGCUGGCACCCCAGGUUACUUGUCCCCUGAGGUCUUGAGGAAAGAUCCCUAUGGAAAACCUGUGGAUAUCUGGGCCUGCGGGGUCAUCCUGUAUAUCCUCCUGGUGGGCUAUCCUCCCUUCUGGGAUGAGGAUCAGCACAAGCUGUAUCAGCAGAUCAAGGCUGGAGCCUAUGAUUUCCCAUCACCAGAAUGGGACACGGUAACUCCUGAAGCCAAGAACUUGAUCAACCAGAUGCUGACCAUAAACCCAGCCAAGCGCAUCACGGCUGACCAGGCUCUCAAGCACCCGUGGGUCUGU